rnacentral:lncRNA from 1 species
ACUUAAUCUGUUUGCUUCAGUUUCCUCCUCUAUAAAAUCAACAGGAAAAGGAAAUGGAAAACCAAUUCAAUAUCUUUGUGAAGAAUAACCCAAAAAAGAGACAUGAAGAAUCAGACAUGAUUGACAAAUGACUAAACAACAACAAAAAAGAGGAUGAUAAGAAGACCUAUUUUAUGAUCAGGCUGGAAGAUAGCAAGGAAGUUUCUAACUAAUGAGAAGGAGAAUUGGUUGUAAAAUCUGCAGAAGAUCCAAUAAAGCUAUAAAAGAGGGAAAAGGCAAGACAACAUAACCAGAUUGGAUGUGGCCUAUCUGAACUUGGUGGACAACUCUUUUACUUCCCCGACAAAACAGUAAAAUUCUGGAAGACAGAAAUAUU